rnacentral:sRNA from 1 species
UUUAGAUUCAUAAGAAACUAACCAUUUUUUUUAGUAUCAAAUAGACCCUUGAGGUUCUUAAUGAAGUAACCACUGGAUUCAGAUUAGUGUUAUUUUUUUGGACUCAUUAUUGUCAUUGUAGGAUUGGAAUUUGAACCACGGUAUGAAGGAAUCUGUCAAUACUACCAAUGAAGUAUGGGAAAUAAGGCGUCAACGAGAGCACAAUCGAGUGUUGCAUAGAUGACAACGUUGCAAUAUAGAAGUGAACAUAAAAGAAUAUGAAGAUUAGGAGGAAUGAGUAUAUUGGCGAGAAAAUAGGAGUUACACUUAUUGAGGAAAACAUGGUACAAUCUGUCAGGAUUCUGAUAAUCUAUGACGACCAAUUGAAGCCCUUGUUAGGAGUAAUUAGAGUAAUUAAGAAUAAGAGUAAUUAGAGUAUUUAACUUAGUAUUAAGAAGGGCCUAGGUUUCAGUGGUCUGAAUUGAUUCAUGUAGCUUAUUCUGCGUAGUGGGAAAUGAUCUUUGUUGCUAUUGUGUUGUAUACGUCAUGUAUUUGUUUUAUUUAAUGAUUAUCUUUUUUAGCACGUAAUGACAUGGAAUUAUUUUUGUAUCUAGGGCUAUGAAUUUUGGGCCCAAACAUUGUGCCCUGACUCUGAUUCCAUCAUUCAGAUCUGUAGUGAAUGAGAGAAUAUGCAUGGUGGUGAAAAAGGAAGAUAUCUCAAAAGCUACUGAAAAAGAACUCCAGCGGGGACAGCAGAACAAAAUUAUAGAGCAAACCAAAGAAAAGAAGAAUAUACCUGGGAGUCCUAUUUCCGUGAUAUGAGGACUAAAGUACAAAUUUAAGAUCUUCGUAUUACUGAUUUUUGUGAUUCAGGAUGCUUGGUUUUAUGCAGUUAGUCACUAAAUUUAUGGUAUAAUUAGUUUGGUUCGUUUGUUGGUCUUUUAAAAACUGACAAGUUCCUCUUUUGAAAAAAAUAAAUAAAUCAAAGCUUUAACUUUUGUAUAGUUUAGGUAAAAGUUUUGAAUAGGAGCGUGCAACAUGAGAAAUAUUGU